GACGAACCGUGCAAACGUUGUUCGGAAUCACUGGGCUUAAAGGGCGCGUAGGCGGGCCAGCCAGUCUGUGGUGAAAGCCUCCAGCUUAACUGGAGAAGUGCCGUGGAUACUGCUGGCCUCGAGGAGGGAUAGGGGCAUCUGGAACGGUCGGUGGAGCGGUGAAAUGCGUUGAUAUCGACCGGAACUCCGGUGGCGAAGGCGAGGUGCUGGGUCCUUUCUGACGCUGAUGCGCGAAAGCCAGGGGAGCAAACGGG
rnacentral:rRNA from 1 species